ACGAACGCUGGCGGCGUGCUUAACCCCUGCCAGUCGAACGGUGAAGCUCCAGCUUGCUGGAGUGGAUCAGUGGCGAACGGGUGAGUAACACGUGAGCAACCUGCCCCUGACUCUGGAAUAAGCGCUGGAAACGGCGUCUAAUACUGGAUACGAGAAGGGCCCGCAUGGGCACUUUCUGGAAAGUUUUUCGGUUGGGGAUGGGCUCGCGGCCUAUCAGCUUGUUGGUGAGGUAAUGGCUCACCAAGGCGACGACGGGUAGCCGGCCUGAGAGGGCGACCGGCCACACUGGGACUGAGACACGGCCCAGACUCCUACGGGAGGCAGCAGUGGGGAAUAUUGCACAAUGGGCGAAAGCCUGAUGCAGCGACGCCGCGUGAGGGAUGACGGCCUUCGGGUUGUAAACCUCUUUCAGCAGGGAAGAAGCGAAAGUGACGGUACCUGCAGAAGAAGCACCGGCUAACUACGUG
rnacentral:rRNA from 1 species